CACACGCAAGGCAUGGGAUGGUCCGGGAGAAAUCCGGAUUGUUCCGCCCGGUGGCAUCUCGAAAGGAUGCUGUUCGUCUUGCGGGGGUUCAACCGGAAAAGGAUGACUA
rnacentral:sRNA from 1 species